rnacentral:rRNA from 1 species
UGAGGAAUAUUGGUCAAUGGGCGGAAGCCUGAACCAGCCAAGUAGCGUGAGGGAUGACUGCCCUAUGGGUUGUAAACCUCUAUCAGCAGGGAAGAUAAUGACGGUACCUGACUAAGAAGCACCGGCUAAAUACGUGCCAGCAGCCGCGGUAAUACGUAUGGUGCAAGCGUUAUCCGGAUUUACUGGGUGUAAAGGGAGCGCAGGCGGUGCGGCAAGUCUGAUGUGAAAGCCCGGGGCUCAACCCCGGUACUGCAUUGGAAACUGUCGUACUAGAGUGUCGGAGGGGUAAGUGGAAUUCCUAGUGUAGCGGUGAAAUGCGUAGAUAUUAGGAGGAACACCAGUGGCGAAGGCGGCUUACUGGACGAUAACUGACGCUGAGGCUCGAAAGCGUGGAGAGCAAACAGGAUUAGAUACCCUGGUAGUCC